UACGUAGGGGGCAAGCGUUGUCCGGAUUCAUUGGGCGUAAAGCGCGCGUAGGCGGCCCGGUAAGUCCGUUGUGAAAGUCAAAGGCUCAACCUUUGAACGCCGAUGGAUACUGCCGGGCUAGAGUCCGGAAGAGGCGAGUGGAAUUCCUGGUGUAGCGGUGGAAUGCGCAGAUAUCAGGAGGAACACCUAUAGCGAAGGCAGCUUGCUGGGACGUUACUGACGCUAAGGCGCGAAAGCGUGGGGAGCGAACAGG
rnacentral:rRNA from 1 species